rnacentral:rRNA from 1 species
CCAAAAACAUAGCCCUUAAAAAAAUUAAAGGUGAAACCUGCCCAAUGAUUUAAUAAUUUACACUUAAAAGAUAAAUAAAAAAUUAAAUGGCUGCAGUAACCAUGACUGUAAAAAUGUAGCAUAAUAAUUCGCCACUUAAUUAGUGGAUAGUAUGAAUGGUUAAACGAAAAUUCCACUGUCUUAUAAAAUAUAAUAAAAAAUUUAAAUCAUAGUUAAGAUGCUAUGUAAAACUGUAAGACGAAAAGACCCUAUAAAGCUUAACUAUAAAUCUUAACACCUUAACAUUAAAACUAAUAAAAAUAAUUAAGAUUCGGUAGUUUCAUUGGGGCGAUGAUCUCUAAAAAUAAACAGAGAUAAACCAAUUUAAUAAUAAAAUUUACUGUAUAAUUAAUAAAUUUAACAGUUACAAAGUAGGGUAUAAUGACCCAUUAUUCUAAUUAAAAAAAAUAAUGAACAAUAAAUAAAAGCUACUUUAGGGAUAACAGGAUAAUAAUUUCUUAGAGACCCAAUCGAAGAAAAAGUUUAUCACCUCGAUGUUGAAUUAAGAUAACCUAAUGACGCAGCAGUAAUUAAAGGUAGGUC